rnacentral:rRNA from 1 species
AUGGACCCGGCUGAGAUUUUGAACGUCAGAUUUCAUAUAGGGGGGCAAUUUGUUCGAAUUGGUCCUUCUCUGGACUAUGUUGGGGGAGAUGUGGCCUACUCUGAGAUUGAGAGGGACAAGUUGUCCUUGCAGGAGGUCAAAGAUAAUACAACUGAUGGUGGAGUUGCAGAAAUUUUUGUGGAGUACAAUGGGGAACAGGAUGAAGAAGGAGAUGGGAGUGAAGAAGAUAUGCCUACUGUGAUGACAGCUGAAGAAAUGCAAGUGGAACAGCACAAUGACAAUGUAAAUGAAGAUUUACUACAGCAAGUCCUUGUCCCCAAUGACAAUGGUGUUAUUACUACAGUCAUAAGCAGCCCAUUGAAGAGAACAAGUUCUGAAAGCUGCAGUUCUAGCAAGAAAAAAAAGCAAGAGUACAAGGUGCAGAGCUUGCAGCAACAACACAAGGAGGAGAGCUUGCAGCAACAGCACAAGAAGCAGCAUAAAGAGCAGCAGAGCAAGGAGCAGCAGAGCAAGGAGCAGAGCAAGCAAAAGAGGAGUCUGAUUCAGAUGAUUCGGAGGACAAUGACUAUGUUCCACAUACUGAUGAUAGUGGAGAGGAAUCAGAGGUAG